rnacentral:rRNA from 1 species
AGUGAACGCUGGCGGUAGGCCUAACACAUGCAAGUCGAACGGCAGCACAGGAGAGCUUGCUCUCUAGGUGGCGAGUGGCGGACGGGUGAGGAAUACAUCGGAAUCUGCCCAGUCGUGGGGGAUAACGUAGGGAAACUUACGCUAAUACCGCAUACGACCUUCGGGUGAAGGAGGGGGAUCGCAAGACCUCUCGCGAUUGGAUGAGCCGAUGUCGGAUUAGCUAGUUAGCGGGGUAAUGGCCCACCAAGGCGACGAUCCGUAGCUGGUCUGAGAGGAUGAUCAGCCACACUGGAACUGAGACACGGUCCAGACUCCUACGGGAGGCAGCAGUGGGGAAUAUUGGACAAUGGGCGCAAGCCUGAUCCAGCCAUACCGCGUGGGUGAAGAAGGCCUUCGGGUUGUAAAGCCCUUUUGUUGGGAAAGAAAUCUUUCAGGCUAAUACCCUGGGAGGAUGACGGUACCCAAAGAAUAAGCACCGGCUAACUUCGUG